rnacentral:rRNA from 1 species
UCCAGACUCCUACGGGAGGCAGCAGUGGGGGAUAUUGCACAAUGGGGGGAACCCUGAUGCAGCGACGCCGCGUGGGUGAAGGAGCGUUUCGGCGCGUAAAGCCCUAUCGGCAGGGAAGAAGGAGGACGGUACCUGACUAAGAAGCCCCGGCUAACUACGUGCCAGCAGCCGCGGUAAUACGUAGGGGGCAAGCGUUAUCCGGAUUUACUGGGUGUAAAGGGGGCGCAGACGGCAGCGCAAGCCAGGAGUGAAAGCCCGGGGCCCAACCCCGGGACUGCUCUUGGAACUGCGCGGCUGGAGUGCAGGAGGGGCAGGCGGAAUUCCUGGUGUAGCGGUGAAAUGCGUAGAUAUCAGGAGGAACACCGAUGGCGAAGGCGGCCUGCUGGACUGCGACUGACGUUGAGGCCCGAAAGCGUGGGGAGCAAACAGGAUUAGAUACCCGCGUAU